rnacentral:rRNA from 1 species
UACGUAGGGUGCGAGCGUUGUCCGGAAUUAUUGGGCGUAAAGAGCUCGUAGGCGGUUUGUUGCGUCUAUCGUGAAAACCUGCAGCUUAACUGUGGGCUUGCGGUGGAUACGGGCAGACUUGAGUUCGGUAGGGGAGACUGGAAUUCCUGGUGUAGCGGUGAAAUGCGCAGAUAUCAGGAGGAACACCGGUGGCGAAGGCGGGUCUCUGGACAGUUCCUGACACUGAGACACGAAGGCCAGGGGAGCAAACGGG